CCUAGAGGCCAUGUCACUUAAGGGGAGCCUGAACCCUGAGGUAGGUGCAGGUCUCAGCUGAUAACCUGAGAAUAACUGGAGCCUACAGAAGGGAUCUCCGGAGGCUAGCUCAACUAGCCAGGAGUAAAGCAAGUGAUGGAAACAAAAGAUUUCCUUCCAAUUAGUUUUUGUGCUUUACUUCUCUCCUGGAAUUAAGUGCCUGAGCUUAUGUCUACCUUAAAAGGUACUGCUGCCUAAUAGGAGCACUUCCUUUAACGAGAGAGUUGGUUCUGAGAAGGUGAUUCCACUGCAGCAGAUCCUGUUUGCAGUUACAGGACACUCUUGAAGUGCACCCACUGUCUGCACUGCAUUUGAAAGACCACUCUCCAAGAGCACUCUACAGCCUGUAUGAAAGCACAUUCUGCUUGUAUUAUUUUGACAAGGAUUUCUGUAAACUCCCAAGAUGCCAACCUGAAACUGACAGGAAUGGUGGCAAAAAUACUCGACGUGCAAAUUCUUCUGACGGACUAAAAGUAGUCUGUCGUCUGCUGGAAUCACCUUUCUUUUUCUCCCUGUGCAUUUCUCCUGCUCUGCCCUCCAUACACACCUCGAUGACAGCCUGAGGGUGUCAGGCGUAAUUCUGCAAAGACACAGAGAAGCAGAAGGAAAUGCCAAGUGUCAAGUCUAUCCCAUGACCUCCCGCUACAGCAUAAACUGAAAAUAGCAGCCCUGGGAAAGCAGCCUGUUAGCUUCUUUAGUCUUGAUACGUUGAAUUGACUUUCAAGUGUUUUCACAGCUACUCUGGAGAGUUAUCAGCACUUAGGGUUUGAUGCAGUAUCUGCUGAAAUCUGUAAGACUCUUUUUACUGACUUCAGUGGACUGAAUACUGACCCUGGUUUUCACCAUGAGUCUUCUGUACUGAAACAACCUACUGAUGCAUGUUUGUAAAGCACUGCUAUAAAAAAAUCCCACCAUUAGCUGUAAAAUUAAGGAGACAAGGAGGUGAGUCUUUUGUAUUAGAAAUAUAAAUUCAGUAAAGUUGUCUGGAGGCACGUGAGAUCAGAUACAUGUUGUUAUAGAUUANNNNNNNNNNNNNNNNNNNNNNNNNNNNNNNNNNNNNNNNNNNNNNNNNNNNNNNNNNNNNNNNNNNNNNNNNNNNNNNNNNNNNNNNNNNNNNNNNNNNUUUUAGGAUUACUGCUGCAGUAACAUUUCUACAGUUAUUGAUCCAGUACUGUCUUAUGGAGCUUUUCCGAAGAAAACUGUUUGCUGUCAUUGCCAAAGCUCAUCAUUCUGUUGUAUUGUCAGUUAAGUCUAAGUAGUAAUGUUCAAGAGAAAUAUGAAUAAACACACUGAAAAGAGAGUAUCUUUGCAAAGACAAAACACUGACUUUGAUAAAAACUGAAUGAAAUCGCAACAUUUAGGUAACCCAUCUCCUUGAAUAUUUACCAUUCUAGUUGAUUCUGUUUUAAAAUGGAGAUUCUUCACUCCAAAGAGUUGCUGUUUUGCAACUACUCACUUCAAUGUUUGUGCCCUGGAUACUUGCCUUCACUGCCAUUUGCCACAAAUGCUGAUGUGAGAUGUGUAUGCACACAUUAUAUAGGCAAAAGAUAAUGGUAGAUGUUAAUAAGCAAGCAGGUGAUAAACAUUCACUUUUUAAUGGAAGAGUUGUGUUAAAUUAAUUGAUGUUACUUAUUUCACAUCUUUAGGAGCUGGAGUUUAUAUGGGAAAGAAUUGUUGUAUAAAGUAUAACAUCCCACAGGUUUGCAAAAUUAGGUUUGAUUUUCCUAACAUCUGUGAGUUUAUUUUCAACACUUCAAUGACAAAUAAAAUUCACUUGAACAAACUUGUCAUAUAAAUAACUUGCAGUACUGAAGACAUGAGUUCAAAGUAAAACUGGGGAAGAUAUAGUUCCUACUUGGUAAGAAGAAAUAAUAUAUCCUGGCAGUCAGAGCAGGUGGCUGGAGUGGCUUAAGUAAUCCACACUUUUUUUUCCCAGGAAAUUUCUUUAGAUAUCCAAAACUUAACAAAACUAUCUGUUCCUUUAGAUCAAGAAUGCUAGUGGGUAGAUCAAGUCUUCUUCCACUUGUACGUUGUCUACUGAAGAAAUAAUUUUCAGCACUGUCUCUCCAUUUAUUAUCUUAGACCUCCAGUUAUUGCAUCUCAUCUUCCCUUGUAUCCCUUUGCAAUAUAACCAUAUGCUGAACUGUCCUUAGUCCAUAUUUAUGCCCAAGUAAAACAUACUGGACUUUUAAAAAUUGUUUGAAAUAAAUAGCCACGUGGUGGGGCAAACAUUAAAAAAAAAAAUAAUAAUCACUGGUUUGAUUCUCAUCUCUUACCACUGCAAAUCAAGGAUAAUCCUUCUAAGGCCAUGGGAGUUACAUAACAACAUAAGGAGGUGCUUGCUCCUGCUGGAUGUUCUUGACUUUUUCUAAGUAAGGCUCUGGUAAUAUAAUCAGAAGCAGUGACAAAUCCUUAAUAGAUACCUAUUGUUCACAGUCAAAUGGCCUUUUAGGUCAACUGUCAAAUUACCGUGACUUAAUAAGCAGUAGUAUCUCUUCUAGUCAAUGCCUAGUGUUGAGUGAUACAUUCCUGACAAGCAAAAGAAAAUCCAGUUGCCUACUUUUCUUAAUUGAUUCUUCAGGAAAUGUUUAAAUUCUAAUAUGGCAGCUGGCCAUACAAUACAGAUAUUUUCAGGGUCUCUUUAGAAGAAUAAUAU
ensembl:lncRNA